CGGGCGGAGCUGCGGAGCUGGAAGCUCAUUGUGGACAGGAUCCGGGGACCAGGAAGCACCGGUUCGGGAUAUGCUGGAGGAGUGGAAAGACUGGAGCCAAGGGAAGGAGUUUUGACGUUAGAAAACCUUCCACAGGUCUUUAACUGUUAUUGCUACAAACACUGGUGUUGGCACCUGGGAGAUGGCUCCGCAGUUAAGAGAAAUGGUCGCUGUUGCAGAGGACUAGGGUUUGCGCCCCCACCCCUAGCCCGUACCACAUUGCUGCUCACAAGCUCCUCUCUCUGGCUCCAGUUCCAGAGGAUCCCACAUCAUCUUUUGGCUUCCUUGGGGGCAUCUGCAUCUACUUGGCACACGUACGGAUAAGCAGACAUACACACAUCCUCAUAAAUAAAAUGCAUUUGAAACGCGUGUUGAAAAAGUGAAGACUGUUUUUAUUCAGGAAAUGUGAUCCCUGACUACAACCAAGCAACAACAACAAAAAACAAUCUUGCCCUCUCCUUGGAUGUGGGUUAUUUGAUGGCUCUUGGGACUCUGACAGCUUUAAAAGCCAAUACACUGUGAGAGUGCUUUUAUUUCCACUUAAACCAGCGGCAGGAAUGGCCUUCAAAAUAAAAGCUGCUUACUGGAAGCCCAGGGCUUGUAAUUGUAUGGCUUAAUAAAUAACUUCACAGUCGACCCAGCAGAUUGCUUCGGGAGGAAGAUAAAUACUUGGCACCUGCGGCUCCCUUUGCUAUUUAGUUAGGAGUGGUCCUGUUCUUCGUCUCAGUAAGGUGCUCGGAGAAUGAAGCAGUACCAGGGGUUCCUUGCUCUACUUUCUAAGGUGGCUCCUUUGCCCGAUGGGAAUCUGAAAGUUUGCAGAAGCUGGAGGAGGUCCGGUGCAGCAGCUGAGGGACUCUUCUGCGGGACUUAUCUGUGAGCUUGGUGCAUGAGUUUGAUUCAAUUUGCCAGCAGGGUAGCAUCCAUUCUCACUCCCUCCUAGCAACUUCUUAGAGUACGGAAGGAAGGAUGCUUUCCCCAGAGCCUCCAGGGAAAUUUCAGCUCAUGAGUGGAAGUUAGGGGUGCUGGAGAGCCUAGAGCGACCACCUGAUGAUGAAAGAUGAGAGACUUCCUGUAACUAAAGGCCUUCACACCUAGGCGGUCACGGUUAUAAGAUUAAGAGGUGCACAGUGCACCGGCUUUAUUAUACAGAUUUAACAGAUCUCCUCUGGAUGGUUCUCAAGACCUUUGGCCAUACAGGAGGCUGGCAGAGGAAGUCUGUAAACAUGGUAGCUUUGUGAGUAUAGUCUUGGAAGGAAAUUGUUUUUCUUGUUUCCCUGUAACCAUGGGAACCACCGUCAACUCCACUCACCUCUUUUGGAAUAAGAACACCUCCAUUGCUGAGCAGGAAGUGGUGUUAGACUUUGGAACUUACAUUCUGGAAGGAAACUUAAGUCUAGUUGAAGGAAGUUGGGAGGUUUGGUGAUCGUUAUUGUCAGGAGCUAAUGGGAAGUUCUGCAUCCACUUGCUUCCUGAUACCAUCAGCAUCAUACCUGACUCAACGAACGUAAUCCUUCAUCCUUCUGGGGAGUGGCACUCUGCAACGAGCAGCCCGUAGAUUUAUUAAAUUGGCCACUUAGAGAUUAGGAUAUAUCAAAAGAUAAGUUUGAUUUCAAAAUUUUUAAAAAGCGUCUAUGAAAGACAUUGAGCAAUUAAUCUCAACCACAGAGGACGAGCCACGGUUAUUCAAUAUGGGUGAAAAACCUUGGAAUGGCUUCCAGCAUCAAACCGCAUUCAUACCCCACACUGAUUCUUUCAGACAAAUGAGAGAAACUGUGUUCAGUCUUAAUUAGUUACAGAAAUUAAGGCCAGUAAAAAAAAAAAAAA
rnacentral:sRNA from 1 species